CAACUCAGAUUAAUUCACCCAUUUACCAAAAUUUAAAAACCUUUCACUUUCUUUUUAUUAUUAUUUCAUUAUAUUUUAAUUAACUUUCCAUUUAAUAAAAUCAAACCCAAAAAACAAAAACAAAAUCCCUCACUCUAAUAACGUAGAACUUCUCUUUCAAAACUUAUAUUACCUUGUGCUACUGAAAUAAAAAACUUAUAUUACCUUGGGGAGUACAGAAUUUUAUGGCUGAGUUCAAUCUGGUUUAAAUUUUUGCAGUGGUUGUCAGAAAAUCUUCACUUCCACUCUCAUUCGUGUCGCUCAUGUGAAUGACGUUAGGCCUUUGACCCACCUCUUAUCAACUCCAUACAAUUACAAAUCAAGAGAGUCUUGUAAAGGAUGCUUAUGGGGAUGGUCGGCACGUCACAUAAAUGUUUGAUUCUCACAUAUUUGGUGUUUGUUGAAAUGUCUAAAUGAAGCAAUAUUAUUCCAUGAAAGAGAAGAAUAAUAGAGGGAGAAACAUGAUCUGGUGAAGAUGUCUUUCAGACUGGAUUUUGAAGUUCAAAAUUUGGCAACAACACAAUUAUGGGGUGGUCAAGUUUGUAGAAUUUGUGGACAUCUCCCAAAUCAAUAUUGGAUGAAUAUUAGUUUGGGGAAUUAAUAAUAAAUAAAAACAUUAUUUUGGGUAUGAAUUAAUCUACUGAGAGGGAUUUUUUUGAGGAGUUUAAUAUUAUUAAAUGAAAUUAAAAAAAAAAAAGAAAGUGAAAGGUUUUUAAAUUUUGGUAAAUGUGUAAAUUAUUUUGAGUUGCACACGUGUAUACAAACGAAUAGAAAGUGAACAUUGUGCACUUUUGCCACUAAAAAAAAAGAUUGGGUACUUAAGUCAUAUAAAUAUGAAACUUUAGGUACUUAUGCCGCUAUUUUACCUUUUU